rnacentral:rRNA from 1 species
GACGAGUGGCGGACGGGUGAGUAAUGCUUGGGAAUCUGGCUUAUGGAGGGGGAUAACUGUGGGAAACUGCAGCUAAUACCGCGUAUUCUCUGAGGAGGAAAGGGUGGGACCUUAGGGCCACCUGCCAUAAGAUGAGCCCAAGUGGGAUUAGGUAGUUAGUGGGGUAAAGGCCUACCAAGCCUGCGAUCUCUAGCUGGUCUGAGAGGAUGACCAGCCACACUGGAACUGAGACACGGUCCAGACUCCUACGGGAGGCAGCAGUGGGGAAUAUUGCGCAAUGGGGGGAACCCUGACGCAGCCAUGCCGCGUGAAUGAAGAAGGCCUUCGGGUUGUAAAGUUCUUUCGGUAAUGAGGAAGGGAUGUUGUUAAAUAGAUAGCAUCAUUGACGUUAAUUACAGAAGAAGCACCGGCUAACUCCGUGCCAGCAGCCGCGGUAAUACGGAGGGUGCGAGCGUUAAUCGGAAUAACUGGGCGUAAAGGGCACGCAGGCGGACUUUUAAGUGAGAUGUGAAAUCCCCGAGCUUAACUUGGGAACUGCAUUUCAGACUGGGAGUCUAGAGUACUUUAGGGAGGGGUAGAAUUCCACGUGUAGCGGUGAAAUGCGUAGAGAUGUGGAGGAAUACCGAAGGCG